CAACACAUCAGAGUCAGAUACUGCAGUGUACUGGUGUGAGUCUGGAUCAGGAGAGUUCAGCAGUGCAGUCAACAUCACUGUACAGAAUGAUGGUAAUGGUCCUAUCCUGGUGAGUCCUGUUCAUCCUGUGACUGAGGGAGCUUCUGUUAGUCUGACCUGCAGUUUGAGAACACAAAAAAUACUUUCCAAUGUGUUUUUCUAUUACAAUGACAAACUUAUUCAAAAUGAUCCCCGAGGGGAGCUGAAGAUCUCUGCAGUGUCAAAGUCUGAUGAAGGUUUCUACAAGUGUCAGUACUCAGGAAGAGAGUCAGCACAGAGCUGGAUGUCAGUUAAAGUAGCUGUGUCCACACCUGAGAGCUCUUCAUUUCCUCUUCUGAUGAUCUUUAGACUAAUUCUUGGAUUCAUGUUUAUUUUCCUUCCACUGUU